rnacentral:tRNA from 1 species
GCUGUAACUUAGUGGUAGAGCAUCUGCCUUGCAUGCAGAAGGUCCAAGGUUCAAUACCCAGCAUCUCCA